rnacentral:lncRNA from 1 species
CUAGUACUUUAUAUGAGAUAUGGAGAGGUAGGAAGUCUAAUCUUAAGUAUCCUAAGAUUUGGGGUACCCUGCUUAUGUCAGAAAUACUGAGAGACAUAAGCUAAGUACUAGGUCAGAUAAAUGCAAGUUUGUAGGUUAUUUUAAGAAGAGUAUAGGAUACUACUUCUACCACCCUACUCAAUAAAAGGUAUUUGUUAGUAGGCAUGCCAUCUUCCUGAAAAAAGAAUUUAUCCAAGAAGGAGAC